GACGAACGCUGGCGGCGUGCUUAACACAUGCAAGUCGAACGAUGAUGCCAGCUUGCUGGUGGAUUAGUGGCGAACGGGUGAGUAACACGUGAGCAACCUGCCCCUGACUUCGGGAUAACCGCGGGAAACCGUGGCUAAUACCGGAUAUGACGCGCUAUCGCAUGGUGGUGUGUGGAAAGAUUUAUCGGUUGGGGAUGGGCUCGCGGCCUAUCAGCUUGUUGGUGGGGUGAUGGCCUACCAAGGCGACGACGGGUAGCCGGCCUGAGAGGGUGACCGGCCACACUGGGACUGAGACACGGACCAGACUCCUACGGGAGGCAGCAGUGGGGAAUAUUGCACAAUGGGCGCAAGCCUGAUGCAGCGACGCCGCGUGCGGGAUGACGGCCGUCGGGUUGUAAACCUCUUUCAGUAGGGAAGAAGGCCUUCGGGUUGACGGUACCUGCAGAAGAAGCGCCGGCUAACUACGUG
rnacentral:rRNA from 1 species